GCUUGCUGGGGGAUUAGUGGCGAACGGGUGAGUAACACGUGAGUAACCUGCCCUUGACUCUGGGAUAAGCCUGGGAAACUGGGUCUAAUACCGGAUACGACCAUCUGGCGCAUGUCAUGGUGGUGGAAAGCUUUUGUGGUUUUGGAUGGACUCGCGGCCUAUCAGCUUGUUGGUGGGGUAAUGGCCUACCAAGGCGACGACGGGUAGCCGGCCUGAGAGGGUGACCGGCCACACUGGGACUGAGACACGGCCCAGACUCCUACGGGAGGCAGCAGUGGGGAAUAUUGCACAAUGGGCGCAAGCCUGAUGCAGCGACGCCGCGUGAGGGAUGACGGCCUUCGGGUUGUAAACCUCUUUCAGUAGGGAAGAAGCGAAAGUGACGGUACCUGCAGAAGAAGCGCCGGCUAACUACGUGCCAGCAGCCGCGGUAAUACGUAGGGCGCAAGCGUUAUCCGGAAUUAUUGGGCGUAAAGAGCUCGUAGGCGGUUUGUCGCGUCUGCUGUGAAAGACCGGGGCUCAACUCCGGUUCUGCAGUGGGUACGGGCAGACUAGAGUGCAGUAGGGGAGACUGGAAUUCCUGGUGUAGCGGUGAAAUGCGCAGAUAUCAGGAGGAACACCGAUGGCGAAGGCAGGUCUCUGGGCUGUAACUGACGCUGAGGAGCGAAAGCAUGGGGAGCGAACAGGAUUAGAUACCCUGGUAGUCCAUGCCGUAAACGUUGGGCACUAGGUGUGGGGGACAUUCCACGUUUUCCGCGCCGUAGCUAACGCAUUAAGUGCCCCGCCUG
rnacentral:rRNA from 1 species